rnacentral:lncRNA from 1 species
AAGGAACUAGAUAAAAAACUGUUUGGUAACAUGUAUAUUUCAGCAAACAAAGAUGCUACUGUAUGGUCUAUGUUUUGGUGAUCAGCCAACAAAGAAAAUCCAACCAUUUGCACAUACUUAGUCCCACAAGCACAGCGAGUUAUGACUUCUCGUGUGAAGGCCUACUUUCAGUAUCUUCAUCCUCAUCCUCUUCACAAUCCCCUUCAUCUGUUUGCUGUUCAAGUUCCUCUUUUGUGAUCAUUUCAAAGUCGUUUCCAUUUCCACUACUGUGCUGGGACCUGUCAUCUUCACGCCUGUCACUGUCUGUGUCUGAAUGCCGCUCUCCUCCUGAGCCUUCUGUUCCCGAGUUCCUCGUUGCUUCUGUUUUCCCGUCUUCUUCUUCCUUCUUCUCACUGUCUGAUUUCUCCUCACUGUCAUAUUUUUGCUGCUUUUUGGAUUCUGAUUUUUCCUCUUUCUUUAAGUCUGCUUUUGGUCCUUUGUAUUCGUGUGUGUACAGGGGCCUGAAGGAGUCAAUGAAUCCCACAUCUGCUGUAAGGUUUGGCAGGAACCAAAAGUGAUGCCUUCCUCCGGUGAUGAGCCAGAUAAUAAGGAAAAGGAUGCAGCGAGCUGUAUUAAAACAGUUUGAAGAUUUGUUACUGUAGCAUUCACAACGUACAACGACGUCUGGUAUUUCACCUACUGGGGAAAUGAAGGUUACUGACACUUACCAACGGCAAGAAGAAGAAUACUGGCUACAAAGCAGCCUGCACCUACGCUGAGGUAAUAUACACCAACGCGCAUUUCUGCUGGCCAAAGUGGAAACAGAGUUGCAGCUAUAACAGCAAUCACUAAAUAGAAAGAUAAGAAGAAAAGUGUGAGAAACACAUUUAGUUCUUCCUGACAUAUAUAUGAAGGUUCUAUGCUUACCAUUAUUCAAGGUACUGGCUUAGCAACCUAUGAGUUAGAUAAUACUGUUCUUUGCCUUGACUGAAACCUUUUCUAGUCCUGCUGCUGCUUUCAUUAUGGGUAGACAGACAUCUAGGAUAGUACCACAUUCAGAAGUACUUGAUCACCAGAGAGAAUGCUUCUGAAAAGGCAAAAAGGCGAGCAGCGAGCUGCCAGUAACCUGCCCAGCAGGAAGCAGUCAGUGAGCUCAGUGCAGUCCUUGGGCACCACCAACUGAUCAGAGAGCUGAAUGCAGCCCCAGGGAAUGACACUUGAAUCAGCUCUCAGCUGUGAAAAGCUCAAAGGUACAGGUUGGGGCGCUGGACUAGCAGCACCAUUAGC